rnacentral:rRNA from 1 species
GACAGAGGGUGCAAACGUUGUUCGGAAUUACUGGGCGUAAAGCGCGUGUAGGCGGCUCUGCAAGUCGGGUGUGAAAUCUCCGUGCUCAACACGGAGCGGCCACCUGAUACUGCCGUGACUCGAGUCCGGUAGGGGAGUGUGGAAUUCCCGGUGUAGCGGUGAAAUGCGCAGAUAUCAGGAGGAACACCGGUGGCGAAGGCGGGUCUCUGGGCCGAUACUGACGCUGAGGAGCGAAAGCGUGGGGAGCGAACAGG